ACGAGUGCUUGCCUUCGCUGACGAGUGGCGGACGGGUGAGUAAUACUUAGGGAUCUGCCUUCGGGAGGGGGAUAACCAUUGGAAACGAUGGCUAAUACCGCAUAACGUCUACGGACCAAAGGGGGCUUCGGCUCUCACCUGAAGAGGAACCUAAGCGAGAUUAGCUUGUUGGUGAGGUAAAGGCUCACCAAGGCGACGAUCUCUAGCUGUUCUGAGAGGAAGAUCAGCCACACUGGGACUGAGACACGGCCCAGACUCCUACGGGAGGCAGCAGUGGGGAAUAUUGCACAAUGGGGGAAACCCUGAUGCAGCCAUGCCGCGUGUGUGAAGAAGGCCUUCGGGUUGCAAAGCACUUUCAGUCGUGAGGAAAGGUUAGUAGUUAAUACCUGCUAGCUGUGACGUUAACGACAGAAGAAGCACCGGCUAACUCCGUGCCAGCAGCCGCGGUAAUACGGAGGGUGCGAGCGUUAAUCGGAAUUACUGGGCGUAAAGCGCACGCAGGCGGAUUGUUAAGCUAGAGGUGAAAGCCCCGCGCUCAACGUGGGAAUUGCCUUUAGAACUGGCAGUCUAGAGUCUUGGAGAGGGGAGUGGAAUUCCAGGUGUAGCGGUGAAAUGCGUAGAGAUCUGGAGGAACAUCAGUGGCGAAGGCGACUCCCUGGCCAAAGACUGACGCUCAUGUGCGAAAGUGUGGGUAGCGAACAGGAUUAGAUACCCUGGUAGUCCACACCGUAAACGCUGUCUACUAGCUGUUUGUGUAUUCUAUACGUGAGUAGCGAAGCUAACGCGCUAAGUAGACCGCCUGGGGAGUACGGCCGCAAGGUUAAAACUCAAAUGAAUUGACGGGGGCCCGCACAAGCGGUGGAGCAUGUGGUUUAAUUCGAUGCAACGCGAAGAACCUUACCUACACUUGACAUACAGCGAACUAACCAGAGAUGGAUUGGUGCCU
rnacentral:rRNA from 1 species